rnacentral:lncRNA from 1 species
AUGUAGCUUCCUACAAAAAGUUGCUAUCAUAUCUUUGUUUAAUUUGAGUGAACUUUGCAAAAGUCCUCACUUGUAAUUGAUAUUUUCCUCACAGUUAAUAAAAAAAAGAUUUUAAUCAUGAGAACAUUGCAGUUGUGAUUGAAAUAUUUUUGUUAAAGAUUGAUUGCUCUGCACAUAAAAUUACCAUUUCAAUAUCUGGUUUCUGGAUUGAUGAAUCUAGAGCAGUGGUUAUGAAAGAAAAUUUUUUGUGGCUGCCAAUGUGGUCACAAGAAGUUGCUGGAUGUUGCACUGAUUUGAAACUUAGUGAUAAAAUUGCAGAAUUGCAACGUGGUAAAGCAUUCACUACCUAUCUGAAAAAUUGUGCAAAAAAAUUGUGUUCAAUUUUUGGUUGCAUAACUUUAGAUUUUAUAGGAAGGGAUCAUGAUCAGCCCAUUAAAUCCUAUUUUUCAACCUUUUAGUUGUCCAAUCCAUGGUGGACUUUGAUUAAGCAUCAUGUAUAUCUCCAAUGAAAUUCAGUAACGUGAUUGAACUAAAUCCAACUUUAAUGUGAAAAAAAUUGUUAAUUUUUUAUCUAAUCAUUCAAUUCUUUUUCAAAGAAGAAAAUUUUUUAAAUUAACUAAAUAAGAC